rnacentral:lncRNA from 1 species
AUCGACAGAGGCUGUAGGUCUGGGAAAAGCGCCAUGAGGCCAGAGGGCGCUGUCUCUCCCUCAGGUUGGAGAGGGACGGAGAGGCGCUGAGAUUCACGCAUGCGCCCCUCCUCCUAGAGGGCCCGGCGAGACCCAGCCAAAAUUGGUCCGCUCCGCUGGGCUUUUUUCCCCCAUACAGGGGCUGAAUCUUUUGUGUACGCAUGCGUCUUGCCCAGGCUGCGGUUGGCUGACGACUCCAGCCGUCAUUGGAAGAACCAAUGGGGUCUCGUCCUGAGCCCCAGCUUCAUCCAUGCAGCUGCCUACCAGACAGAAGGAUGGCAUAAGCAAAGAUACAAAGGCUCUGUAAAGGAAUGGAGUGGGCUGCCCGGCUAGCCUCGAGUCCCAGGGAUGUGCAGCAGGGAUGCAUGGACUACGUCUGGAAAAGAAGUGUUGUGUUGGUUCUUUGAAGGCCCCGGGAGCCAGGCCGAGGAGUUUGGACUUUAUAUGGUGGGCAGCGGAGAACCCUGAGCUCAGGGAGAAGGGAGGUAAAGUCUGCAAUGACCCUGAGAGGGAGGCAGGACUGGUACGGAUCGCUGCAUUUUGCAGAUGAGGAGCCCAAGGCACGAAGACACUGUGUGACUUACCUGACUCCCGUGUGUUCUUGCAGCAACCAAGGCAUUAACCGUAGGAGAAUCCCUCCUAUGGCUUCUAACCAGACAAUUCUCCUUAGUCUGGGGCUGCCUCUGCUUCUGACAGAGCACCUGGAAGAUACUCUCACCUGAAAACCCCACCUCAGACACCUUGAAACGCCCCCCACCGCAGGCUAACUGCCUUCUUUCCUGCUGAGGGGAAGCUCCGAGCUCACACAGUGGCAGGGCCACGCCGUCCUUCUUUCUCCCCCUCAGCUGACCGACCGCACCAAAGAAACCAGAACCCAAGCCGAAGUAUCAGAAACGUG